AAACGGUAGCUAAUACCGCAUAACGUCGCAAGACCAAAGAGGGGGACCUUCGGGCCUCUUGCCAUCGGAUGUGCCCAGAUGGGAUUAGCUAGUAGGUGGGGUAAAGGCUCACCUAGGCGACGAUCCCUAGCUGGUCUGAGAGGAUGACCAGCCACACUGGAACUGAGACACGGUCCAGACUCCUACGGGAGGCAGCAGUGGGGA
rnacentral:rRNA from 1 species